AGUCAAUGACUCAGGGUAGCCACCGAACAUGAUGCUCGGGCAGUGGGUGCCACCUGGACUCCACUCUCCCCUCUCUCUGGGAUCAUAGAGUCCAAGGUGUUCUGUGGCCUCUCGGCCAAUCCCAGCAGCUCAGCGUGCAGAAGACCGAGGAGCCAUUGGAAUUCAACACAACACGAAAUAAUCAACAAAUUCGGGGAAUGUUAAUCUGACCAUCACCAGUUACAAAUGAUGUUUCAUGCUACCUUCUAUUCCUGCCUUCAUAAAUCAAGGAAAAGAAAAAGAGAACAUAUAUCCCCCUACCUUUUGAUUUCCAACAGUCUACUGAGAGGCCAAGAUUAUUUGCAGGGAAAGAAAAGGGGAAUGCCAUCCCCACCCUCUCGCAGCUACGUGCCAGUUCCAGAGCACCUGUUCCCCUCUACUUUGAAAAGGUCAAAAUGUUUUGCCAGUAACUCCCAAAUCAUCUACAGCCAAGGAGAAAAGUGUUUCAAGACAGAGGUGCUCAAUGGUAUCAAAUACUGCCAACAGACCAAGUAAUACAUGCAUUGAAGUGUCUACUGGAUCUAGCUAUAUGAUUCCACAGCUGUUUUAUAGUAACUCAGAGUUUGAAGAGAAAUUACUCCUGCAGUACCAGUUUCCAAAAUGCUUUGUAGCAUCUUCUCAAAAAACAAAUGGGAAGAAGCCAAUCAGAAAUAAGGAAUUUUUAAUUUAGGACACUUAGGCCAUACUGAAGCAAGGUGACAAAAUGAAUAGCUACAAUGUCUCGUGAAUCUUGGGUUUCCAUUCACCCUGGUAUUCAAGAGAAAUUCUUGCAUCAUGGAAGUUGCAGUUGGAUAGGACUUUCUCAGCUGAACACUGUCAUCUGCCAGAGCUUCAGGCAAGAACCCAGAACAGAUGAAACCCCAGACAUGACAAAAUAAGCCAAAGAAUACCAGGCCAAGGUGUGAAAGGCCAGAUGAGAACAAGCAGCGUACACGAUUCUGUUGCCAACAGAUCUCCCCUAACAGUGUCGUGCACCAAAUUUCCACAGUGAAUGUCAGGAAAAAAUGGCAAUUGAGGUGGGUGGUCAAAAGAGAAGCACAGUCUAUGAUGAAGUCACCCCAGAGAAGUCCUUUUUCCGUUUUCUCCUGAGAAAUUACCAGAAGAAAUUAAAAUCCUUUUGAGUAUUG
ensembl:lncRNA LINC00710 long intergenic non-protein coding RNA 710